rnacentral:rRNA from 1 species
GUAACACGUCGAUAAUCUGCCCUUAGGUCAGGGAUAGCCUCGGAAAACUGAGGGUAAAACCUGGUAGGGGAAUUCUUCUGGAAUGAUGUUUCCCUGAAAAGUGAUGCCUAAGGAUGGGACGGCGGCCGAUUAGGUAGUUGGCGGGGUAACUGCCCACCAAGCUGAAGAUCGGUAGGGGCCUUGAAAGAGGUCGCCCCGAGAAGGGCACUAAGAUACUGGCCCUAGCCCCACGGGGUGCAGCAGGCGCGAAACCUUUACACUACACGAAAGUGUGAUAAGGGAAUCCUAAGUGCUGAUGCUAUGCAUCGGCUUUUGCCAAGAUCAAGACUCUUGGCGAAUAAGUGGUGGGCAAGACUGGUGCCAGCCGCCGCGGUAACACCAGCGCCACGAGUGGGAGCCGGGUUUAUUGGGCCUAAAGCGUCCGUAGCCGGCCUGGUAAAUCUCCUGUGAAAUUGUCAGGCUUAACCUGCCAGCUUGCAAGAGACACUGCCAGGCUAGGGACCGGGAGGGGUCAGAGGUAUUUUUGGGGGAGCGGUAAAAUGCUAUAAUCCCUUAAGGACCACCUGUGGCGAAGGCGUCUGACCAGAACGGAUCCGACGGUGAGGGACGAAAGCCAGGGGAGCAAUCCGGAUUAGAUACCCGAGUAGUCCUGGCUGUAAACGCUGCGAGCUAGGUGUUGCACAUUCUUAGGGAUUGUGCAGUGUCGUAAUGAAGAUGUUAAGCUCGCCGCCUGGGAAGUACGGUCGCAAGG